UCAGGCCUAACACAUGCAAGUCGAGCGGGGUUUUCGGACCUAGCGGCGGACGGGUGAGUAAUGCGUAGGAAGCUACCCGACAGAGGGGGAUACCAGUUGGGAACGACUGUUAAUACCGCAUAAUGUCUACGGACCAAAGUGUGGGACUUUCGGGCCACAUGCUGUCGGAUGCGCCUACGUGGGAUUAGCUAGUUGGUGAGGUAAUGGCUCACCAAGGCGACGAUCCCUAGCUGGUUUGAGAGGAUGAUCAGCCACACUGGAACUGAGACACGGUCCAGACUCCUACGGGAGGCAGCAGUGGGGAAUAUUGGACAAUGGGCGCAAGCCUGAUCCAAAAGAGCCGCGUGUGUGAAGAAGGCCUUCGGGUUUCUUUUACGACAGCGAGGAGGAAGGGUUGUGUGUUAAUAGC
rnacentral:rRNA from 1 species